GCCUUUUAAAAGGAUUGAAAGCAAUGUAAAAUCUUAAUAUUUAAACAAAAGAUAAGUGCUUCACAGCUGUUCAGAAAUUUCAGAUUGCCCUUUUCUUGUUUGUGUAUGCAUCACUAACACAUAAUACUAUGCUUAGCUACAUGUAUUUAUUGAAUAAUCAUUUUUUUACAGUGAAUAUGUCCCCUGCAAUCUUCUUCUUCUUCUUUUUGCAUAAAUUUAAAGUUUCACUUAGUGCCUGUGUUGCAUAAAGAGAGUGGAGUAACAAAAUAAUUGCUUAGAUAAUUUCAGUUCCCAAACGACUUUUGGAUUAAAUGUCUAAAAAUCAGUGAGGUAGAAACAGGAUAGAAAUCACUACAUUAAAUGGCAGCAAAUAUUAACUGUGCUGUCUUAGUGCCUUCCUUUACUAAUUCAGUCCUUCUUUACCUUCAGCAACACUUGCUCAUCUUCAGAAUGCCCUAAUGGCAAGAUUCUGCAAGAAAAGAAAGGAAGGAAAAGAGAAAUUAGAAUACAUAAAAUCAGUGGAAUGAGUUUUAUCAUAACUAAAUUCUAAAAUAUUGUCAAAAUAAUCACAUUUGAAGCAAAAAUGCCAACAGCCUACAGCAUUAGACCUUAACCUACACUAACGUCCUUCACCAGUGACACUCUCCCAAGGCUUGACAAUCUUCAUUUCUUCUUCCACUGGCCGGGGAGCAGUGCACUAUGUACAUGUUUCCUAGAAAAAGCGAGCACACGCACACAUGUGCACACAUGUUAGAUAUAACUGUUCAAUUUCCUUGUUUCAAGAUGUUUGGUUAGUAGGUAUAAGUUAGUGCACUGUACAGUCUCAGAAAUUUCACCCAUGUUUCCAUAAUAAUCACAAGACUUUGAGACCCAUGACUUUCCAUGUAUGCACACCCAUCUUUUCCACUCAUGUCUCUCUCUCUCUCUCUCUCUCUCUCUCUCUCUCUAUAUAUAUAUAUAUAUAUAUAUAUAUACCCAGUGGAUUCCAAUUUUUAAGUUCAACAAAGUGGGCCAAAUUUUCAUCAAAACUCUCUUCAGGCCAUGUAACUAGAAAUAGUAAGAUUAUUUACUUUCAACUACCAUAACUGUGCAAAAAGAUAGACCAUUAUAAGUUAGUAGCCUGGGCAUUGACUGUUAAUUUCUUUAUUCUCCUACUAUACUUUCAAGAAUCGCAUUUACAUUUUCAUACAUACCAACACUGACAAGUAUGUGGAAUCAUUUGGUCACUUUGGUCUGAUUGGGUGGAAGAGUUAAGGGGCUUUUAUAAUUUCACAGGAGCCUAAGACAUUAAGACAGGAGCCUAAGUCACUGAAUCUCCAUCAUGAGUGUCUAGAUCAGUAGGGUUCUAUCUCUGUUGGCAUUUUAGCCACACACCUCUUUUUAAUGUAUCAUGUUCCACAUUUAUCACUUACACUACAGUUAUAUAGGCACUCCAUAAAUAUUCACUGGAUAAAUACAUGAAUGACUACAUGACUGAAUUUCUAGCUGUAGAAUAUCAUCCAGCAAUUAAGGGCCAAUUGAAACUCUGUUAAAUAAUUGUGCAUAAAUUUCAUAAGACUUCAUGCUUUAAGUGAUAUUCAAGAAGUUUUACAACAUUUCUGGAAUUCUGAAAUGUGUUUCCAAACCAGCUCAAUUGAAACUGAUCUUUGUUCAAUGUCACUCUCCAAUGGCCUUUGGCCCCUGGAAAUUACCACAUAUUUCAUAAGAAAUUCAGUCAUGGUUAUAGUUAUCACUACUAAGGAAAUUUCUUGAUCUUGUAGGCUGAAAUUUUAGAUUUUAUGAGUAUUAUUCUUCUUACCUUGGACUCUGAUGAAAACAUAUUACCACCCAUAUAUCAUGGCUCCUUAAUGGAAAUGAACAAUUGCCUUUUGAUAAGAUGUUUUAGUUCUUUCCCAAGUGUAAAUAAACACUAAAAGCCACUGAGAAUCAACAGAAAUGUCAGUAGCCUUGAAAAUAUGUUGAAUCUAUUAAAUGAUGUGAAAAUGAUGUGAGCUUAGUAAUAAAUUCAGCAACAAAAUAAUAAAAUUCAUCAACAAUUUUAAGCCAU
rnacentral:lncRNA from 1 species